GUCGAGUUUCUGAACAGCUGUUUGUUGUUCUAGGACAAGCUGUUCCACGUGCUGCAGAGUUUGAGGUUCGGGCUCAAUCAUGGCCUGCUCUUUCGCACUUUCAAGGAUGCAGAUAACUUCAUGUACCUCGCGACGCUGAAUCAACCUCCCUCACGAUGCUGUCCAUGGUCUUGUCAACGUGAUCCAUCCAUCGCUCCAUCUCCCGGAACUUAUCUCUAUACGCGUCCCAUUUAGCUGGAAUCCUUUGCAACUGCUGUCUGAAGUUUUCAACACGGUGGACCUGUUUGUACUCUCCCACUCCUGUUCACAUUUCUUGACGGCUUCUUCGAGGCUGGUGUCUCUGGUUUGAUGCGUGUAGCUAGUGGAGAUCUUCUUCAAGUUCUGUAGGCAGUGCUCGACCUGCAUGACCUUGCCUUGGUUACGGAAGUACUCUUCGUUUCUUAUGAGGAUUCCGUCAGCAUCGUCGCUCUGGUUGUAGGCCUGAAGGAGGUUAAUUUUGUGAGUAUUUCACCUUUGUUAUGACAUACACGAUUUUCUAUACUAUACAUUACCGGCUAGUUUAUGUAAUUAAAUUACGUGUUAAUGCAUUAUUUACUAGGUUUGCAUUUUAUGAUUGUUGUGAAAGUAAAUAAAUAUGUUUUAGCGAAA